GGGGUUGUGGCUCAGAGGGAGAGUACUCAUCUAACAUGUGUGGGGCACUGGGUUCGAUUCUCAGCACCACA
rnacentral:tRNA from 1 species